UGGGGGAUCUUGCACAAUGGAGGCAACUCUGAUGCAGCGACGCCGCGUGAGCGAAGAAGGUCUUCGGAUCGUAAAGCUCUGUCCUAUGGGAAGAUAAUGACGGUACCAUAGAAGAAAGCCCCGGCUAACUACGUGCCAGCAGCCGCGGUAAUACGUAGGGGGCGAGCGUUGUCCGGAAUUAUUGGGCGUAAAGGGUUCGUAGGCGGCAAUGCAUGUCAGAUGUGAAAGCCUGUGGCUUAACCACAGUAAGCAUCUGAAACUGCAUAGCUUGAGAAAAGGAGAGGUAAGUGGAAUUCCUAGUGUAGCGGUGAAAUGCGUAGAUAUUAGGAGGAAUACCAGUAGCGAAGGCGACUUACUGGCCUUUAACUGACGCUGAGGAACGAAAGCGUGGGGAGCAAACA
rnacentral:rRNA from 1 species